GACGAACGCUGGCGGCGUGCUUAGCACAUGCAAGUCGAACGGAAAGGCCCUGCUUUUGUGGGGUGCUCGAGUGGCGAACGGGUGAGUAACACGUGAGUAACCUGCCCUUGACUUUGGGAUAACUUCAGGAAACUGGGGCUAAUACCGGAUAGGAGCUCCUGCUGCAUGGUGGGGGUUGGAAAGUUUCGGCGGUUGGGGAUGGACUCGCGGCUUAUCAGCUUGUUGGUGGGGUAGUGGCUUAUCAAGGCUUUGACGGGUAGCCGGCCUGAGAGGGUGACCGGCCACAUUGGGACUGAGAUACGGCCCAGACUCCUACGGGAGGCAGCAGUGGGGAAUAUUGAACAAUGGGCGGAAGCCUGAUGCAGCAACUCCGCGUGCGGGAUGACGGCCUUCGGGUUGUAAACCGCUUUCGCCUGUGACGAAGCGUGAGUGACGGUAAUGGGUAAAGAAGCACCGGCUAACUACGUG
rnacentral:rRNA from 1 species